rnacentral:tmRNA from 1 species
GACCUUUUCAUUAAUCGCCAAAGCCCUAUAUGGAGAUCCGUCGGCUUCGGCCGGCUGCCGGUUUCGGCCGGCUAUGGGGAUAAACGAAGGCGUGCAAUAGGCGCAGCGGACGCGGGGGCAGUACCCGCCGGCUCCACCACCAGCUACCUGCUCAGGCAGUUGAUGACGGGGCCGAACUAGGAUCGACGUGUGUUGAAAAGCGCCAUCUAUCUCUCAGCGUGGGCCACUGUGACGGCCUGAAACACAAGUGCCAACGAUAACGAAGCACUCGCUAUUGCGGCGUAACCCCAAGGCUUAACGGCCUAAGGUUAUUCUAAAAUGCGCGGUUGGACCGCACCGGGCAACAGAAGCGGAAUCCAGCGGUACGGGGGACACCGGGCAACAGAAGUCCCCCACU